rnacentral:sRNA from 1 species
CUUUUAAUCAAUUGGUCGCAGGUUCGAAUCCUGCACGACCCACCAAUCGUUCUGGUGGAACGCGAUAGUAAAANNCGUGAAGGAUAACGUUGCGUCAGCAACGGCCCGUAGGGCGAGGCGAAGCCGAGUCAUCCUGCACGACCCACCG